AACCCUACUGUAAACUGCAAAUGUGAGGGAUCUAGGUUGCACACUUAUGAGAAUCUAAUGCCUGAUGAUUUCUCACUAUCUCCCGUCACUCCCAGAUGAGACCAUCUAGUUGCAGGAAAAGCAGCUCAGCGCCCUCACUGAUUCUACAUUAUGGAAACUGGUCCCUGGUGUCAAAAAGAUUGGAGACCGCUGACUUAGGAAUACACUCAAGCAACAUUCUGUCAGCUUCACAAAACCACCUAAUGAGGCCAAGCGCGGUGGCUCAUGCCUGUAAUCCCAGCACUUUGGGAGGUCGAGGCGGGUGGAUCACGAGGUCAAGAG